UACGAAGGGGGCGAGCGUUGUUCGGAAUUACUGGGCGUAAAGCGUGCGCAGGCGGUUUUGUAAGCCAGAUGUGAAAUCCCCGGGCUUAACCUGGGAAUGGCAUUUGGGACUGCAAGGCUUGAGUGCGGCAGAGGAGACUGGAAUUCCUGGUGUAGCAGUGAAAUGCGUAGAUAUCAGGAGGAACACCGAUGGCGAAGGCAGGUCUCUGGGCUGACACUGACGCUCAUGCACGAAAGCGUGGGGAGCAAACAGG
rnacentral:rRNA from 1 species